rnacentral:rRNA from 1 species
ACAAGCCUGAGAAACGGCUAGUAGGACUAAGGUCUGCAGCAGGCGCGAAACUUACACAAUGCUAGAUUUAACAUAUAUUAGCGAUGUAGUGAAGAAAAAUAACGAUGUACUUGUUUUUAAACAAACUUGUACAAUUGGAAUGAGACGACCGUAAAACAGUCAGUCGAGUAACAAAUGGAGGGCAAGUCUGGUGCCAGCAGCCGCGGUAAUUCCAGCUCCAUUAGCAUACAUUAAAGUUGUUGCGGUUAAAAAGCUCGUAGUUGAAUUUUGGACGAGUUCUUGGGCGCGGCGUCCGUCAAGGCUCUAGGUAAAACUUUAGCUGGUCGUCGUUUGCCUGCGGAGCUCGUUGUUUCGUCACUUAAUCGAGUGCGAAGCGGGGCGUUUGGACAAUAAUAGAGCAAUCUAUUACUAAGCGCCAUGUUUACCUUGAGAAAAUUAGAGUGCUCAGAGCAGGCAGUUGGGAUUUAAAAGUCUCUUUAUGCUUGAAUAAUGUUGCAUGGAAUAAUAGAAUACGGCCUCGGUUCUAUUCUGUUGGUCUUAUAGAACAACAAACAAGUUGGUUAAGGCGAUCACGGUUAGUUUUGAGAGUGGUUCUGUUAGUGCUUGUUGUCUGGGCUUAAAAACCCAAGUACCUCCGCUAACUCUACCAUUAAAGCUCUCUCUACUGGCCAGCCACGAUCAACUGAGGCAAUGGUUAAAAGAAAUAGUCGCGGCGGCAUCAGUACUGCAUCGUGAGAG